UAGCGUUCCCUGUAUUUAGUUCUGUUGUUCCUCAUCGGUUUCUGCCCACGGACUUUUGAGUUUUCGACUGCCCCUGUUUGCUCUGUUUGCCUUUUCCGUGUUUCUCUGGCUGAUACCUGGAUUCGACCUGCUGCUGACCUUGGACCUGUCUUCUGACCAUGGCUUGGAUUUACCCUCCCAGAUCUUUCGGUUCCUAUGUGUGCUCUGGCUGCUGAAGGAUUCUGCUCCUCUUCUCUCCUUGAUCUCUAGGGUCCUCAGGGUUUUGGCUCGGAACCCGGAGAAGGUCAGAUUUAUUCUUGUAAGCCUAGCUCCAAGGAGAAACCAGUUUAAAGUUUCUUGCAGAAAUCCUGGUACCCAGUCUUGUCUCAGUUGCCCUUAACCACUGAGCCUGCCCAUCUGCAUCUGCGCGUGUCUGUCUGGGCACACUUCUGGACCUAUUAUGGCUCUGAACCUGCCUAAAUGCUCUGAGGAUUCCUUUAACCCAGAAUCUAUCUGUUCCUCUGUGGAUUGGAACCCCGGUCGGACUACGGAUCCCUGGAUAUUGAAACUGUUCAUUUCUAUGUAUCCCUGUCCUGGAUUUGAUUCCUGCCUGCUCGCUGCUUGGGGUUGCUGCAUCGCGGACACUCUGGGCAGCUUAGGGAUGCAUCUUAUUGGCAGUGAAUUGGCUGAUUCUGCAUAUAAUUCAGAGGAUAGGCUACACUGUUAAACCAGCAGCAUUAGAAGCAGAGCUGCUCAACUGUUCCAAGAUGUCAGAACAACAAAGCUCCCUUGAAUGAGGGAAUGUGGGGCCCAGGGCAGAGAGUGAGCCUGGAACAGCUGGCCCAGUCCUGGGGCCUCCACUUCCCUGCUCUGCAGCCGCUCUCUAGCAGGGA